GACCUGAUAGCGAAGUCGACAUCGCAUCCACUCCCCCUGAGGGCAAACAAUGUUGAUGUGGAAGUCCCUCGUUCGACUUGAGGUUAGGUCA